CCUGGUAGCGGGGGAUAACUAUUGGAAACGAUAGCUAAUACCGCAUAAUAGUAGAUGUUGCAUGACAUUUGCUUAAAAGGUGCAAUUGCAUCACUACCAGAUGGACCUGCGUUGUAUUAGCUAAUUGGUGAGGUAACGGCUCACCAAGGCGACGAUACAUAGCCGACCUGAGAGGGUGAUCGGCCACACUGGGACUGAGACACGGCCCAG
rnacentral:rRNA from 1 species